AUUGAACGCUGGCGGCAGGCCUAACACAUGCAAGUCGAGCGGGGUUUUCGAACCUAGCGGCGGACGGGUGAGUAAUGCGUAGGAAGCUACCCGAUAGAGGGGGAUACCAGUUGGAAACGACUGUUAAUACCGCAUAAUGUCUACGGACCAAAGUGUGGGACCUUCGGGCCACAUGCUAUCGGAUGCGCCUACGUGGGAUUAGCUAGUUGGUGGGGUAAUGGCUCACCAAGGCGACGACCCCUAGCUGGUUUGAGAGGAUGAUCAGCCACACUGGAACUGAGACACGGUCCAGACUCCGACGGGAGGCAGCAGUGGGGAAUAUUGGACAAUGGGCGCAAGCCUGAUCCAGCCAUGCCGCGUGUGUGAAGAAGGCCUUCGGGUUGUAAAGCACUUUCAGUAGGGAGGAAGGGUGUUGUGUUAAUAGCACAGCAUUUUGACGUUACCUACAGAAGAAGCACCGGCUAACUCUGUGCCAGCCGCCGCAGUAAAAC
rnacentral:rRNA from 1 species